rnacentral:rRNA from 1 species
AAUUAACAAAUUAAAAGCAGCUCUGGAUAUAUAAAUUAUAAAUGUAAUUUAGAAAUUUGUUAUUCCUAAUUAGGAAUCAGCAAGCUCUUCUAAAUUAUAUAAGUAUGGAAAGAAAUUAUUGUAGAAUUUAAGCUAUAUAUUAAAGAGAUUUAUUUAUAUAAAUAGGUUUGCUAGCUGAUUGUGUAUAUACGCAGGCCAAUGCUUCUAAUUUCAUAGCAAGCUCGCUUGCUAUGAAAUAGGCAACCAGUAAUAUAAGCAAGUGUGUGCUAUUUAUAGCGCUAGCCUACAAACCUAUAAUUAUAUUAACUCUAAGAGAAAUUUAAUAAUAAACGAAGUGAAUUGAAAUAUCUUAGUAACUUUAGGAAAAGAAAUCAAAAGAGAUUCUAUGAUUAGCGUGAGCUAAAAUAGACUAGCCUAAAAAGUCAAAUGGUGGAUAAACUGUUUAAAUUAAAUGGGGAACCUUCCUCAAAGGCUAAAUAUAAUGUAUAAGCGAUAGUGGAAAGUACCGUGAGGGAACCAAAACAAAAACAGUGAUUUUAUAAGCAGUUCGGAAAAAUAAAAAAAAGUUAGAACGUACCUUUUGCAUAAUGGGUCACCAAGUUAACAUUAGAUGCGAGUAGGAGGCUUUGCCCAUACAUACGUAGUUAAACCGAGCGUUAAAAUAACGGUAAGUAUCUAAAGUUAGACCCGAAGCCUGGUGAUUUUACCAUAAUCAGGAUUAUAAAAGUCCGAACGGAAUAUUGUAGCAUAAAUAUCCGAAGAAUUAUGGUAGGUGUAGUGAAAGACAAUACUGACCAGGAUAGCUGGUUUUCUGCGAAACCUAUAACAGUAGGCAAUUUAAGUAUAAUAUCUUAGCAGGUACAGAAUUUAAUCUCAGACAAGACAUAAGGCUUAGCUUGCUAGCAAGUAAAGCUCAUGUUUUAUUUUGUACAAAUUGGGGGAUCAUGAAGAUUUUAUCAGUGAGUAUGUAGACUCGGAAUGGCAAAGAUAUAUCUUAAAUCAUCAGACAUAGAAUGAUAAGGUUGUAUGUCAAAAGGGAAACAGCCCAGAACAAGAGUUAAGGUUCCUAAAUUAUUAGUUGAGUGAAAUUAAGAAGGUUUUUAUUAAAGUCGACAAGGAGAUAGGCUUAGAAGCAGCCAUAAUUUUAUGACCUCGUAACAGAGCGCUUGUUAAGUUUUAAAAGCAUCGAAAAUUUAUCGGAUCUAAACAAUAUACCGAAACCUUGUCCAUAUUAUUUUAUAAUUAAAGCUUAAUUAUAAUUAAAUGGGGUAGCAGAACGUUGAGCUAAAUUAAGAUUUUUAUUUUUUAAAUGAAAUUAUAAUAAUUUAACUCAAGUGAUAAUGGUGACAUGAGUAACUAAAAGAAAAAAUAAAAUUUUUCCGCCUAAAGCUUAUGGAUGUAAUUAAGUAACGGCCUCUAAGUUUAUAUUAUCUAAAGAUUUAAACGAUGAGAUAAUCUUUUGUACUAAGGACGACAUUUUAAGUGAAAAAUGUACUGGAAAAAUAGUACUAAAUUAAUGGGUAUAGCUAAUUAGUUAGCUAUAGCUAUAAAUGAAAAGUAACCGUACCUAGAAUCUGAAACAAGUAAGCUAGUAGAGAAUACGAAGGCGUAAAUGAGCUAACAAUCAUAAAGGAACUCGGCAAAUUGACUACCGUAACUUCGGGAUAAGGAGAGCUCAUUAUUCUUGAUUAAUAUCAGGUAAAGAGGAAGAAGCAUGAAAUAGUGUUGUACGACUGUUUAAUUAAAACACAGCACUUUGCUGAAAGAUUAAAAAUCUAAGUAUAGAGUGUGAUGUCUGCCCGGUGCCGGCUGGUUAACAGAUAUAAUUAAAUAUACUAAUAUUUGAUGUAGACGGAAACCCCGGUUAAAGGCGGCCUUAACGUGAGGGUCCUAAGGUAGCGAAAUGCCUUGGCCGUUAAAUGCGGUCUUGCAUGAAUGAUGUAACGAUACAACAGCUGUCUCUAUGAUUGACUCAGUGAAAUUGGAAUAGCUGUGCAGAUACAGUUUACCUCUAGUUAGACGAGAAGACCCUAUGCAGCUUUACUGUCACUAAUUAUAGAGUAUGAUAAACAAUUUUCAGAUUAUAAGGUAAUUGACGGCUAGCUUGUUCAGCAAGCUAGCUCUAUGACAAUGAGAAUCCUUUAUUUUUUUUUCAUAUGAAUGAAUUGGUUUAGGAUUAUGAGUAGGUAGCGGCUUCUGCUACUUGGCGUAAGCAUUGCUUGCGUCAGGUGUCUGAAGUAUGCAUUCCAGCUCAUGCAUAGUAAAUCAACCUAAUUCAGCUUAUUUUCCUUUCUGCCAUAAGCGCAUAAUGAUAGAUUUAACUUAAAUUUUGAUUUAUGCCAGCUGCAGAAAUAGAUAAGUACCCUUGGCUAAGGAACUAUCGCUAGGGGACAGUUUAUGUGGGGCACAGACCCUGUAAAGAGUAAACAGGAGUGUCUAAUAAUUUAUAAUUAUUUUGUUUGCGAUUUAAGAUAGUGAAACUAUUUUUAAUCAUAUAAAAUUAUUUAUAUGUACAUUCGUUGUAUAUAUAUUUAAAAAAAGGUAGGAUUUUCACUAUAUAGAAAUUAGAGAUAAUAAAAAUAUUAAGAAUAUACGUUUCAGGCUGGGAGGGGGAAGCUCCUCCCUUUGAAAGGUAGCACUAAUAUUUUUUAGCUAUUAAGACAGGCUAUCAAGCUAGGCUCUAAUAGUUAUGUAUUAAUUAUCUAAAAAGCUCAACGGCUAAAUCUUGCCUUACUGUUUGAUUAUCAACAAAUCU